AGCAGCCGCGGUAAUUCCAGCUCCAAUAGCGUAUAUUAAAGUUGCUGCAGUUAAAAAGCUCGUAGUUGAAUUUCGGGAUCAAUAUGUUGGUCGUGCCUUGGUACGUACUAGCUCAUUGGUUUCUCCCUUCUGACGAACCAUGAUGUCAUUAAUUUGAUGUCAUGGGGAAUCAGGACUGUUACUUUGAAAAAUUAGAGUGUUUAAAGCAGGCUCGCGCUUGAAUACAUUAGCAUGGAAUAAUGAAAUAGGACAUUUGAUUCUAUUUUGUUGGUUUCUAGGAUCGAUGUAAUGAUUAAUAGGGAUAGUUGGGGCAUUAGUAUUCAAUUGUCAGAGGUGAAAUUC
rnacentral:rRNA from 1 species